rnacentral:rRNA from 1 species
CUUCCACAAUGGACGCAAGUYUGAUGGAGCAACGCCGCGUGAGUGAAGAAGGGUUUCGGCUCGUAAAGCUCUGUUGGUAGUGAAGAAAGAUAGAGGUAGUAACUGGCCUUUAUUUGACGGUAAUUACUUAGAAAGUCACGGCUAACUACGUGCCAGCAGCCGCGGUAAUACGUAGGUGGCAAGCGUUGUCCGGAUUUAUUGGGCGUAAAGCGAGUGCAGGCGGUUCAAUAAGUCUGAUGUGAAAGCCUUCGGCUCAACCGGAGAAUUGCAUCAGAAACUGUUGAACUUGAGUGCAGAAGAGGAG